UACGGAGGAUGCGAGCGUUAUCCGGAUUUAUUGGGUUUAAAGGGUGCGUAGGCGGCUUUUUAAGUCAGCGGUGAAAUUUUGCAGCUUAACUGUAACAGUGCCGUUGAUACUGGGGAGCUAGGAUUUGGUUGCUGUGGGUGGAAUGUGUGGUGUAGCGGUGAAAUGCUUAGAGAUCACACAGAAUAUCGAUUGCGAAGGCAGCUCACAAAGCCAAGAUUGACGCUGAGGCACGAAAGUGUGGGGAUCAAACAGGAUUAGA
rnacentral:rRNA from 1 species